AUUGAACGCUGGCGGCAGGCCUAACACAUGCAAGUCGAACGGUAACAGGAAGAAGCUUGCUUCUUUGCUGACGAGUGGCGGACGGGUGAGUAAUGUCUGGGAAACUGCCUGAUGGAGGGGGAUAACUACUGGAAACGGUAGCUAAUACCGCAUAACGUCGCAAGACCAAAGAGGGGGACCUUCGGGCCUUUUGCCAUCGGAUGUGCCCAGAUGGGAUUAGAUAGUAGGUGGGGUAACGGCUCACCUAGGCGACGAUCCCUAGCUGGUCUGAGAGGAUGACCAGCCACACUGGAACUGAGACACGGUCCAGACUCCUACGGGAGGCAGCAGUGGGGAAUAUUGCACAAUGGGCGCAAGCCUGAUGCAGCCAUGCCGCGUGUAUGAAGAAGGCCUUCGGGUUGUAAAGUACUUUCAGCGGGGAGGAAGGGAGUAAAGUUAAUACCUUUGCUCAUUGACGUUACCCGCAGAAGAAGCACCGGCUAACUCCGUG
rnacentral:rRNA from 1 species